UUCAUUGUUUAAGAUGGACCUUCCCUGCGCGCUGUAAUUAUGCAGAAGCGCGGCAAGCACCGAAAUAUUUGGUUAUAAGUUAAACUUCCCUCUCGAAUGAAAAAGAAGAGUUAAACAUUAGGAUUGAAAGAGUGAUCAGUCCUAAAUCUCAGCUCUCUCUCUCUCUCUAACUGUCCUCUCGAUCCGCCGAAAGCCCAAGCGAUAUUCAGAAGUCCGACGCCGACUCAAGGACCGAUGAUGCUUCUGGUCGAUGACGGUGACGAGGAGCGUAGCGAUGUGAGCUCGUCGGUGUCGUAUAAGCAUCGGAAAGGCAGGGUAUCACCAAGGCUGCGACGGGCCUGUUCUCUAUGUCGGCCAGAAGAGAUCGGAAAUCAGGGAUUGAAGAAGAACCUCCUCAAUGAAAGUGAAGGCUUCGGAAACCCCGAAGAGCGGUCACGAGGUUGAAGUACAUUACACUAUUUGAUUUGAGCAGCGCUAGGGGUACGCCUUUGAAGUUCACUCUCGGAAAAGGUGAACUGUUGAAUUGAGCUUCUGAGUGGAGUUGAUGCUACCCUACCACAGCUUCGUUUUUGAUGACUUCCACGCUUUCCAUCACUCGCCACAGUUACGGUUGGCUUCCAGAAGGUGAUUUCAUUUGCUCAAUGUGUGUGCUUUAGAUUUAUGUUGGAAUGAGCGAUUGUUCUGGUGGUGAUGAAUGUUAUUGUUCUAGAGCAAUAGUGGUGCCUUCUGGAUUCUUUAAUUUGUCUUGCUUGUCUGGUAAAGUCCACAUAGUUAGUCUGGAUUUGUUUGGAUAUGCCACUUUUCCAGUUAACAAUUUAUCCAUCCUAAUAUUAUAGUAUUAUACUUAUUUUCACUUUGUUGAGAUGUAGUACUUGUAACAUCCCUCAGGGACGGAAUGAAUCUUGUCAGUUAUGAAUAUGUGGCAUUGCCAAGAUGCAAAGAAAGGGGUCCUUAUCCUUAGUGAGGUAAUAACUAUAAACUUUCAUGGUUCCUCCUUUUUCUUCUCAUAUUUUGAAUUGAUUUUGCUUUCUAUUUGGCAAAACUGAAAGUAGUACAAAAAAGAAAGAAGAUACAGAUCACGACUCAAAUAAGCUUGAGAUUCUGAAAUUAUGAUAUUGGUUAUGUAAAAGUGUCUCUUGAUUCUGUAUACAAAGAGUUAAACUUGUAUCUGAUGCCAUGGUUGUUGCUCAAUUGAUAUCCAAGCGAAUGAAUGGUCAAGUAUCAUAUCAUUCAGUACCUUUCAGUUCUGACUUAUCACUUAGCUUUUGUCCCCAUUUGGGGAACUAUGAGUUACCCUUUCUUCGUUUAUGGAUUUACAUGGCUUGAAUAUGAAAAGGGGAAGAUUAGAGGCUAGAACUGAAAAUUGGCAAUACAUGAAACCUUUUAGAAAUGGUAUGGAACUUUAGUAUGAGAAAUCUAUUGCAAUGAAGGACUUGAAGAGUAGAAAGCCAAUGUAGUCUAGUUUUGCUCGGAAGAGAAUGAGAGCUUGCAUUUUCAAUUUAUGAGGUAUUUGAUAUGACUGCUUUUGAUAUCUCCUUUUGUUUUGGCACUGAUCCAGCAUCUUCAUCACAUUAGUUACUUGAUAUAUAUAGUUUCAUAAUUGCAGGGGUUAAUUGAGGAGUGGCUCCAAUGGUGACAGCAAUAUGUUUGGCUCCAUCAUUUCUGGCAACAGAUUGAGUUCAUAUGUUUGUUUUAGUGUAUAGGUUGAAAGCUGGAAUGCAGUUUUCUAUAGAUUAGGAUCAAUAGGUAUUGUUAUUAUAUAUGUAUUCUUACACUUCAAUAGUUUUGUAAUUGAAGUGGAUUAUUAACAUUCAAUUAAGUGUUUCUUUCUUUGUUCUACU